GGCCUGCCCAGUGGAAAUUUUUCCAAAUUUUUCUCAACGGCCGCGGAAUUUUAACCGUGCUAAGGUAGCAUAAUCAUUUGUCUUUUAAUUGUAGUCUCGUAUGAACGGGCUAACGAAGCUAUUCUGUCUCUAUCUUAUUAUCUAAAAUUUAUUCUAAAAGUCAAAAAUCUUUUAUUUAAUAAAAAGACAAAAAGACCCUAUAGAGUUUAAUUCUUAUCUUAUUAAUUACAUACUAAGAAUUUAGUUGGGGCAACUAAUAGAAAAUAAAAAUUUCUUUUAUAACUAUUAACAUCAUAAUCAUUUUUUUUAAUAAAUCAAAACAAAUUACCUUAGGGAUAACAGCGUAAAAUUCUUUUAAGAGCUCACAUCGAAAAAGAAAAUUACGACCUCGAUGAUGGAUUA
rnacentral:rRNA from 1 species